UGUCCCAUGGCUCAGUUGGUAGAGCGCCAGUUCUCUCGUACUGGAGGUCGGAGGUUCGAGUCCUCCUGGGGCUG